UAAAAUAGCCAUCGAGGAGUUGAUGAGGAUGUGUGACACUCAAAAACAAAAUAUAAAUAUAAAUACACAAACUCUAUGGAAAGACAUUGAAUCUGUGAGACUGAAGUUACAGACCCUGUGAAAGCCUCGUCCAAGUCCAAGUCUCUUCCCAGCUGCUACUCCAUUUCUCUGGCUGGCCCACAAUGCAGUGCUGCAGGCGUCCUCAAUCACUGAGGCAUAUGAUGUGAGUGGACACCACUCAGCCAGAGAAACAGUCCUCGAUGUGUCUCCCUUGUACUCUUCCAUACUACAACCACUCACAAACACAGCCUUUCUGUUCCUAUGAGUGUCAGUACUGCUAAAUAAAUUCACUUAGACCUGACUGUUCCUCUCACUUCUUCACAAAAGCUAAAACACACGGCCAUUUCACUUCACAACAUAAGAAUACUCAACCUUGCUCUGCACACUCUUGUCAUACAAUGUUUCUCACUAGUGCAACAAAGCCAAUAACUUGUUUUUGUCGCACCAAAUGUAAUGCCCACCUGAACCUACUUGUUCCCCUCAUACUCCAAAUUUCAGCAUUAGUACAUGAUUAAUUGAUAUAUUUAUCAUAAGCAACAACAUAAUUGGCACUGUUCCUUUUGUCAGCAGUGUACUUGAUUGCCUAACAUUGGUAUAUAUCCAUAACAACAGAAAGAAACAAGCUUAAACUAAAGCAUGCCACCUUCAGCCGUACUGAGAAAGAAUGAAAUGUCACACGUGAG
ensembl:lncRNA